UCCGGUUGAUCCUGCCGGAGGUUACUGCUAUCGGUGUUCGCCUAAGCCAUGCGAGUCAUAUGUAGCAAUACAUGGCGUACUGCUCAGUAACACGUGGAUAACCUGCCCUUGGGACCGGCAUAACCCCGGGAAACUGGGGAUAAUUCCGGAUAACGCAUAUUUGCUGGAAUGCUUUAUGCGUCAAAAGGAUUCGUCUGCCCAAGGAUGGGUCUGCGGCCUAUCAGGUAGUAGUGGGUGUAAUGUACCUACUAGCCAGCGACGGGUACGGGUUGUGAGAGCAAGAGCCCGGAGAUGGAUUCUGAGACAUGAAUCCAGGCCCUACGGGGCGCAGCAGGCGCGAAAACUUUACAAUGCGGGAAACCGUGAUAAGGGGACACCGAGUGCCAGCAUCAUAUGCUGGCUGUCCGGAUGUGUAAAAUACAUCCGUUAGCAAGGGCCGGGCAAGACCGGUGCCAGCCGCCGCGGUAACACCGGCGGCCCGAGUGGUGAUCGUGAUUAUUGGGUCUAAAGGGUCCGUAGCCGGUUUGGUCAGUCCUCCGGGAAAUCUGAUAGCUCAACUAUUAAGCUUUUCGGGGGAUACUGCCAGACUUGGAACCGGGAGAGGUAAGAAGUACUACAGGGGGUAGGGAGUGAAAUCUUGUAAUCCCUGUGGGAACACCUGUGGCGAAG
rnacentral:rRNA from 1 species